UACGAAGGGGGCUAGCGUUGUUCGGAAUUACUGGGCGUAAAGCGCGCGCAGGCGGUCCUUCAAGUCAGAGGGUGAAAGCCCAGAGCUCAACUCUGGAACGGCCUUUGAAACUAGAGGACUUGGGUACGGGAGAGGUGAGUGGGAAUUUCCGGUGUAGCGGUGAAAUGCGUAGAUAUCGGAAGGAACACCUGUGGCGAAAGCGGCUCAACUGGACCAUAACUGGACGCUGAGGCGCGAAAGCUAGGGGAGCAAACAGG
rnacentral:rRNA from 1 species